GAUGAACGCUAGCGGCAGGCCUAAUACAUGCAAGUCGAGGGGCAGCAUAGUAGCAAUACUGAUGGCGACCGGCGCACGGGUGCGUAACGCGUAUGCAACCUACCCAUUACUGAGGGAUAGCCCCGGAGAAAUUCGGAUUAAUACCUCAUGGUAUCAAGGACAGGCAUUUGUUUUUGAUUAAAGAUUUUAUCGGUAAUGGAUGGGCAUGCGUCAGAUUAGCUAGUUGGCGGGGUAACGGCCCACCAAGGCGAUGAUCUGUAGGGGGUCUGAGAGGAUGAUCCCCCCAACUGGUACUGAGAUACGGACCAGACUCCUACGGGAGGCAGCAGUAGGGAAUAUUGGUCAAUGGGGCGAGAGCCUGAACCAGCCAUGCCGCGUGCAGGAAGAAGG
rnacentral:rRNA from 1 species